rnacentral:rRNA from 1 species
GGAGUUAGCCGGUGCUUCUUCUGUGAGUGAUGUCCUUCCUGCCGGCUAUUAACCCGCAGGCCUUCUUCCUCACUGAAAGUGCUUUACAACCCGAAGGCCUUCUUCACACACGCGGCAUGGCUGGAUCAGGGUUGCCCCCAUUGUCCAAUAUUCCCCACUGCUGCCUCCCGUAGGAGUCUGGGCCGUGUCUCAGUCCCAGUGUGGCUGAUCAUCCUCUCAGACCAGCUACGGAUCGUCGCCUUGGUGAGCCGUUACCUCACCAACCAGCUAAUCCGACAUAGGCUCAUCCGAUAGCGCGAGGCCCGAAGGUCCCCCGCUUUCCCCCGUAGGGCGUAUGCGGUAUUAGCCUGGGUUUCCCCAGGUUAUCCCCCACUACCGGGCAGAUUCCUAUGCAUUACUCACCCGUCCGCCGCUCGCCACCAGGGAGCAAGCUCCCCGUGCUGCCGCUCGACUUGCAUGUGUUAGGCCUGCCGCCAGCGUUCAAUCUGACACANANAUAACUCACNAGNGGCGGUGUCGACGACGGCGACUAG